UACGAAGGGGGCUAGCGUUACUCGGAUUGACUGGGCGUAAAGGGCGCGUAGGCGGAUGGUACAGUCAGAUGUGAAAUUCCUGGGCUCAACCUGGGGGCUGCGCUUGAUACGUGCUGUCUGGAGUUCGGAAGAGGGUCGUGGAAUUCCCAGUGUAGAGGUGAAAUUCGUAGAUAUUGGGAAGAACACCGGUGGCGAAGGCGGCGACCUGGUCCGAUACUGACGCUGAGGCGCGAAAGCGUGGGGAGCAAACAGG
rnacentral:rRNA from 1 species